rnacentral:piRNA from 1 species
UGGCUAAGAAGGAAACCUCUUUCCCGUGC